rnacentral:rRNA from 1 species
GACGAACGCUGGCGGCGUGCUUAACACAUGCAAGUCGAACGGAAAGGCCCUGCUUGCAGGGUACUCGAGUGGCGAACGGGUGAGUAACACGUGGGUGAUCUGCCCUGCACUUCGGGAUCAGCCUGGGAAACUGGGUCUAAUACCGGGUAGGAGCCAUUUUUAGUGUGAUGGUUGGAAAGUUUUUUCGGUGUAGGAUGAGCUCGCGGCCUAUCAGCUUGUUGGUGGGGUAAUGGCCUACCAAGGCGGCGACGGGUAGCCGGCCUGAGAGGGUGGACGGCCACAUUGGGACUGAGAGACGGCCCAGACUCCUACGGGAGGGAGCAGGGGGGAAGAUUGCACAAUGGGCGCAAGCCUGAUGCAGCGAGGCCGGGUGGGGGAUGACGGCCUUCGGGUUGUAAACUCCUUUCGCUAGGGACGAAGCUUUUUGUGACGGUACCUAGAUAAGAAGCACCGGCUAACUACGUG